rnacentral:lncRNA from 1 species
CAGACCUUGGAUCAGAUCCUACCACUUUUCCAAUCAGCUCAGGCUUGGCAGAUACAUGUAGCAAAAAGCUUGGCCAUAGAGCUGAAUUUGACACUAGGGCUAAGGCAGGUACUGAGGGAUGGGAGACCCCUGGAAUCAUCAAGCUCUGGGCAAGUUUCCAUCUGACUGCAAAGUUUGGUGCCUGAAGGGACAGCAUAUUGCAUCAGAAUCCAGCAGACAAAUUGAAGAGAUACAAACAAGCUGGCAGUGGGCUUCUGGUGUGUUCUCAAGCACAAUUGUCUGCAAGUAGGCACCAGGGCAACAGCCAUAGGCCUGAUAACUUAGGAAUCUCUUUGGGAGGGGAUUGGCAAGAGCAACCCAGGUGUUUUAGCGGAGGGACCUGGAGUAUUGGGACGAUACCUGUAACAGCAUCAACAGGACCAAAACAGGUACCAAGCAGAGCCCUGUUAUCAGACCAAGACCCAAGGCUGAGGAUGGAUCCUUAGUCAAGAUGACUCAAAGCUGGGCCCCAGAAUGUGAGGCUGAGGCUGGAGGUAGGAAGAAGUGUCUGUGAGAGGAAGAUGGGGUUCCAGUUUUGCUGAGUCCUGAGUAGUUGCAUAUGCGAGCCACGUUCUCACAUCACGACUUUGUAUGUGCUGUUCUGCAGUUCCUGUUGCUCUCUGGCCCUCUUCUCUCCCUCCUCGACCCAUCUCACACACCGGCAUUCUCUUGGCCUGGCUAAUCUCUACUGAUCCUUUAAACAAGGAACUUCCAAGGGAUAUUAGAAUAGAGCCGUGGAAUCGGGACAAAGUGCUGCACGGAGGGGCCUUGCCCAAGGCUACGCAGCUGGUGGAUGGGGAAAUCAGGCGCUUGCCAGCCGCCUCGCAGGCAGCUUUCCCUCUGAGGGAAGGUGGUGCCUCCGGCCUCUGAGGAGGUAGCUGGGACAGCCUGAAAUGAGCUGCUGAAAGCCUGAAGCUCCAGAAAGACAAAAAACAAGCAACACACAGUGAUGUGGGUGUCACUCGCUGAGGAUGUGCGAUAACACACACACUGCCCGGGUUGAAGUGAAAUGAAUAAUGCCAAUAACAUUGUGAGGGAAUGCUUCAGUGCCUGAAGUGUACAGUGCACGAAUGGUUCCCAAGAUUUGUCAUAUUUUAAUGCUAUUGCCUUAUGUUUGUUCGGUGCUUUCCAGUUUUGAAAGUGCUUUCCACAUGUUUAAUCAUUUGCUCACAAUAAUUCUUCAAAGCGAAUAGGUAGAUAUGGGCGGAAUGACAGCUCCCCCUUCCCAAAUUCAUGUGUUGAAACUCUAAGCCCCAGUACUUCAGAAUGUGAUUGUAUUGGUGUGUCGGGAAUUGGUUGGUUCCUUUCAGUGGGUUCUUGGUCUCACUGACUUCAAGAAUUAAGCUGCGAAUGCUCACGGUAUUAAAGUUCUUAAAGAUGGUGUGUCCCGAGUUUGUUCCUUCA